GAUGAACGCUGGCGGCGUGCCUAACACAUGCAAGUCGAACGGAGAUUACGGACGGAAGUCUUCGGAUGGACGCCUGUAAUUCUUAGUGGCGGACGGGUGAGCAACGCGUGGGCAACCUGCCCUAUACAGGGGGAUAGUAGCUGGAACCGGCUGGUAAGACCGCCGAGGUAGGUUAAAUCGCAUGAUGUGUUCGGGAGAUGAGCAAUAAGGGAUAGGAUGGGGCCGCGUCCGCUUAGCCAGUUGGCAGGGUAAAAGCCUACCAAAGCGACGAUCGGUAGCCGGGCAGAGAGGCCGGACGGCGACAUUUGCGGGGGGACGCGGCGGAGACUCCUACGGGAGGGGGGAGAGGGGGAUACAGCAAAAUGGAGGGAACGCUGAAGGAGCGACGCCGGGUGAGUGAAGAAGUAUGGCGGUAUGUAGAGCUCUAUCAGCAGGGAAGAUGAUGACGGUACCUGAAGAAGAAGCCCCGGCUAACUACGUG
rnacentral:rRNA from 1 species